rnacentral:rRNA from 1 species
UAGGGAAUCUUCCACAAUGGACGAAAGUCUGAUGGAGCAACGCCGCGUGAGUGAAGAAGGGUUUCGGCUCGUAAAACUCUGUUGUUAAAGAAGAACGUAUCUGAGAGUAACUGUUCAGGUAUUGACGGUAUUUAACCAGAAAGCCACGGCUAACUACGUGCCAA